UCUGUGAAAUAUUCUGAAUUCUGAUGUCAUCCAUCCGUCGACCAUUUAGCAAAAAAUCGUAAUUACCAAAUAAAGUAAAAAAUUUGUUAAACCCUCUUUUAUAAGUGAGGUAUUGUGACAACUUUUGUAUAAUAGUGCUUUCUGAUAACAUUCAAUAGGUUAAAUGAUCUAUCAAAUGUCGCAUUGAUAUUGUAAUUUUUUAAUUCUGUGCGUGGGAUGUUUACACUAAUUUUGUAAUUUUAUUACAGUUCUAAAGAAUAGGAGAAUGUCAGAAGAAAGAAAUCGAAAUUUAUAGAUAAAUAUAGAGUGCAAUUAAGUAUUUAGUGCUGAUUUUGUGAAGUACCAUGUCAGGUACAGAGCAAACACAAUUAUUAUGUUUAUCUCUUCUCCAUAAUGUGUUUAGUAGAAAUAAAACCUUUUUUGUAUCUAA